ACUUAGCCCAGAUUGAAACGGCAUCCUUUUUUACUGUCAGUUCGAGUGAAUUUUGAAGAAUGAAAAAUUUGUAUCGAGAACAGAAGUAAAAAAGAUAUAGUGGAAAGCAGGAAAUAGC
rnacentral:sRNA from 1 species